GCAGAGCCAUGGCCCUCUUCUUUGUUCUCUGCUGGAUCCAAGAGUCGGGGUCUCCCUAUGUUUCCCAGGCUGGCCUCGAACUCCUGACCUCAAGUGAUCCUCCCACCUCAGCCUCCCAGAGUGCUGGGAUUAAAGACGUGAGCCACGGCACCUGGCCUGAAUUUUCCUCAAAUUCAAAAAAUGCUGAUGAAGGUUUGGCUAAAAUCUUUGGUGAGUUACCCCACUCCCUGUGGAACCUCAGGCUGGAUUUGAAGAGUUGCGUGCAUGGUCCUCAUUGUCUCCCAGAUGAAAUUGUGCUCCAAGUGUUUUCCAAGGUUCCGUAUGACCCAUCAUUUGAUGAAACAAGAACAGCAGUCAGAUCCAUUACAAAGAGAGACACACAAAAAAGCUCUUCCCAACAAAAGAGCUUGAACAAUGCUGCAUUUGCCUCAGGUUCAAAUGAGCGAGAGGAACAUUUGGCUAAAAUAUUUGGAACCAGCGUUGCUUGGAAUUCUCCUAAACCAGAAUAUUUCCUUGGCAGUGUGGACAAAAUUCCUGAUAAAGAUCACCUUUCAGAGGAGAAGAAUUUUAAAGAAUCCUGUCUGUUCCACAGGGAUUUAAGAGAGCAGUUAACUACUGUAGAUAAAGAAACACUUCAAGGAGCAGCUAAACCAGAUGCUCACUUUAGGACUAUGCCCUGCGGGCAGCUUCUGCACUUCCUGCAGAAAAACAC
rnacentral:sRNA from 1 species